AGUGAACGCUGGCGGUAGGCCUAACACAUGCAAGUCGAACGGCAGCACAGUAAGAGCUUGCUCUUACGGGUGGCGAGUGGCGUACGGGUGAGGAAUACAUCGGAAUCUACUUUUUCGUGGGGGAUCACGUAGGGAAACUUACGCUAAUACCGCAUACGACCUACGGGUGAAAGCAGGGGAUCUUCUGACCUUGCGCGAUUGAAUGAGCCGCUGUCGGAUUAGCUAGUUGGCGGGGUAAAGGCCCACCAAGGCGACGAUCCGUAGCUGGUCUGAGAGAAUGAUCAGCCACACUGGAAGUGAGACACGGUCAAGAGUCCUACGGGAGGGAGCAGUGGGGAAUAUGGGACAAUGGGCGCAAGCCUGAUCCAACGAGACCGAGUGGGUGAAAAAGGCCUUCGGGUUGUAAAGCCCUUUUGUUGGGAAAGAAAAGCAGCAGGUUAAUACCCAGCUGUUCUGACGGUACCCAAAGAAUAAGCACCGGCUAACUUCGUG
rnacentral:rRNA from 1 species